UGUCAGAAAAGUUGUGCCAAAGUUUCAUUUUUCCGGAUAAAGCCUUUUAUUCAGAAGAGGUGGGUGAGAACAGGAACUCGUGCCAAUGACCAGCUGGGCGCCCUUCCUGUGCGUCAGUGUCCCACUCUGUAAAAUGGGGACAGUAACACAGUGUCCGCGGUGUGGAGGACUGAACGAUUCCACGUGUGGCUCUGCGAACAGAGCCUGGACUCAAGUGUGUCCCAGUGCGUGUUUCUUCAACACAUCGCAGAACCUUUCCUGUGGGACUUUGGUACCCAGUUUAAUUGGAUUCACCUCAAAUGGCCUUGUCAUCUGAUCAGAUCAUCCUUGGAUAAUAGACACCUCGUGUCAUUACCUGUGGUCCUUGCUGGGAAGCAAAGGCACCAUGGCGUCAUGAGAGGGACUUGGGGGACCUGACCUGGGCCCUGGGCCAGGCUGUGGGGGUGAUUGGGGGUGAGGAGAAACAGAAGAUCCCCCCAAGGAGGGGACAUUUCAUCUGAGACCUGGCAGGUGAGCUGCAGGUAACAGGUGAUGGACUGAGGUGGAGAAACAUUCCAGGCGGAGGGAACAGCAUAUGCAAAGGCCCUGAGACACUGGGAGCCUAGUAUUUCCAAGGCCAGAGGAGAGGCCAGUGUGGCUGGGGCCAAGCAGACACAGGACGUUUCCAGAUAAUUAAGGGCCGGCGCCCGGCUGCAUUUCCACACGGCUCUCGUCUCCAGCCUGUCGCUUUUCCCCGAGUGGCACAGACAUGACUUUGUUUUCCAGCGCGAAGAGUCUCUUAAUUAAAUCUUAUUUGUCAAGAAGGUGAGAUGUGUUUGCGUUUCCUCGGGCUCCCAAUGUUAUAAGCUGUGCCAUGUUUUCUCUGAAAAAUGCUCCUUUUCUGCUCGAAAGAGCUGGAUUGCUGCCUUUUCCCUCUUCCGUUGUGAGGAGGAGAUGCCUCAAGUCCUUUGUCAGGUUAUCAAUGGUCCUGCUUAAAGGAUCCUGAAGCCAUCACCUGAAAGUCACGGCUCCUGAAACAUAAUAAAACGCCCACUUUAGCACGUUGUCGCCUGUCAGAGCGAGUUUCCCUCCCCUCAGAGUCACAGAGCCUGUCAACUGCCCGAGUCAAUGACCUCUGCCUGUCGCUUCUGGGGUUUCGCUGUUGACACGGUGUCUCUUUCAGCUUCUCCGAAGCCGUGUGACAUGCUCCGUUUAGUAGUGCGUCCUUCCUUUCUUCUAUCUCAAACUAAUUGCUCUGAUUUAUGUCCCUCGACAACACUCCCACACGCGUGUUAUCUGUACCUUUGCGUGGAGCAGGACGGUCUCAAGUUCAAGGUCCCUGGCAGGUAACCAACACAAUUUCAAGUUCCGGGACAUCGUCUGCAAUCAACAUCAACUACCCCAUCAAGAAAGCAGACCCUGGUGUUGGUGGUGAGUAGCAGAUAAUUUAUGAGCUUGUCAGUGUGUUCCACGGCCCCUGAUCUGUAUCAGCAUGAAAUAAGAAACCAGUCAAGAGGCGUCAGGAAAACACGGCAUGCCCCCGCCCCCUCGCCUUACCAUUUGACGUUGACUCAUUCAUGUAUGAAAUUGAGUCUUUGUGAUGGUGGAGUAUUAAAGAUCCCGUGUAGUCGAAUUAAUAUCAUGGAACCGGAGAGUGGAACCAGGUCAUUAAAUGCUCCGUGGUUCGCCCUCCUUCCAACAGGCAGGAGAAAACAAACAGAAGGCUUAGAUGCAAAUACGAACUCAGGUCCGAGUGUUCAGGAGAACCAGCGUAGGCUGCGAAAGGAGAGCUGGGUGGAGGUCCCAGAUAAUUUGGGUUAAAAAGACUUUCAUUGGGAGAAGCAGUCACCCAGGCACAGGCUGUGGAUCCUGCCGUGGUUUAUCCUCCCUGUCUGUCUGCUUGUGGAUGACCUCAGGGUUCAUGCCAACGUUUAGUGAAACUGUUGAAGCAUCACUGAAAUUCCUUGAGCCAAAGGGAACGUGUUCAGGCCCCAGUCCUGCCCCCCCUGUGAGCUGGACAGACCGUCCUCCCUCUCUGGGCCUCAGUUUCCCCAUCUAUAGAUUCCACACUCCCUUUGACGUUCGUUGGUGUUGCCCAGUGAAGAUAAAGGAGGCGGAGGGGUGGAAGAGAACCUGCUUCUGCUGGUGUCCAAGAGAAAGCUUGAUGUCAGGACAUCCUGAGACGUGUCCUGGGGAGAAGGAAGCCUUCAAGGGACAAAGGAGCUGUGUAGGAGUCACAGCUCUAACGGAACAGCCAACUUUCAACCAACCAAAAAUACUGCAUCCCUCCCUCCCCAGCGGAGUGACCAGGAGGUGAUCGGAACACAGUGGAUCCCGUGGACCCACAGGGAGUCAGUUUCUGCAGGGGGAGAUAGAUGAGGCUGAAAAAAAAAUCUGCUGUGGUAUGUAACGUAUCUGACACACAUCCCUUACAAUUUGCAUCUUUAUUUCUUUCCCAGUUCCCCUCCACUAAAAAAUAAGCUCCUGAGGGAAGGGAUGUGGGGCUGUUGGUUUUUUUCUGUUGUAUCUCAAGUACUGGAAAGAGGCCUAGCACAUAGUAGGCCUUCAGUAAAUAUCUACGGAAUGAAUAAGUGCACAAACCAAUGCAGUCACAAAACAGCUUUGGCUGGGAAAGAGUGAAGACGUGGUUCUUGACAUGAGGAUUUGUAGCAACAGUAGCCUGUGUUUUAUUCCUUUUUUAGGAUUUUGAAGAAGGCAACGUGGAGGCAGCACCUUCGGGCCCUCACUGAGCCGCAGCCUCCCCCUCCUCCGGCUCCUGGCUCCCAGUGUAGAGGCCUCCGGUCCUGGUCCUUCCACCCAGGACGGUGGACUGGACCUGCAUGUCGAGAUUUGCUCUGCUGGGUGAUGUCUCAAGAAACCCCAGGCCAGGGAGUGCAGCCAGGCCAUUGAGCAAAGUUCUCUGAGAAGAAAUGGAGAUGAAACCUCUGGAUGAGAGGAUGCCACGGAACCUUCCAGACCUGAAAUUCUAGGAGGGGUAAGGGUCUCCCUGAGGACCUGAGGAGAGAGCGGCCGGCAGAGGCUGGCGCUGCACACAUCCAGGGCCACCCCUCACGUCCACCCGGUGGGAACGGGGCCUCUGGACGUGUGCAGAGAACACUCGCACGAUCACACUCCCGGCCUCGGUGUUGUUUUUCAGGGGGCGGGGUGAGAUGCCCCGAAAACUGCUGUUCGGCCUGAAGCCUGCGGGGCCUUAAGGAAGGGGCCGCAGCAGAGAAGAGGGAAAUCCGACAAGUGAUACCGUUUGCCAAGAAACAUCAGCAGUGGGACGUGUGUGUCGGCUGUGUCUACACGAGUCAGACACAGCAAGUGAUUGUUCCCAAUCUAAUCCUAUUAUGGGCAAUUUAAGGGACGGUCUGCUGUGAAACGGAAGGCCCAGCUGGGCACCUGGAGGUGGCGUUUCCAUGAGACCUGCUGUUCUGACAUCUUCCGGCACCGACCACGGCCCUGGGGCCACAGUGGGAACUGAAAGUGGGCAGAGGAUGUGAUUGGAGGCAUCUGUACCCGUUAGUCCCGGCUUCUGGGGGGCCAGGUCACCCUGCAGACAUGUGGCUCUUGAGCCAGCUUUCCUGGUUCCCAGAGGCGAGACACACAGGCUGUGGAGUCAGACCCCAUGGGUCCAGGUCCCAGAUCUGCCGCUUACAGCUACUUUCAGAACUAGCAGCUUUUUAAUUUUCUGAAUGAAAAAUAAUUUUUAUUAUAAAAAUGAUAGAUAUUCGUUGUAAAAAUAAAUGAUCUCUGGAGCACGGCCUUGCAACAUUUCAGUUGGAUCUGGAGUCCUGAGAGCUGCCUUUUCCACACAAAGAUCGUCAUGUGGCCCCCACCUCACCCCCUCUAGAGGAAGCUGAGUCAUUAGUCCGGCAUUCAAGGCCACUGUGGUCCCGCCCAAGUGAUGCGGAGGUGACAGGGGUCG
ensembl:lncRNA